rnacentral:rRNA from 1 species
AGGAUUAACGCUGGCGGCGUGCCUAACACAUGCAAGUCGAACGAGGUAGCAAUACCUAGUGGCAGACGGGUGAGUAGCGCGUGGUCAACCUACCGUUGAGUGGGGGAUAACUAGCCGAAAGGUUAGCUAAUACCGCAUACGUCUCCGAGGGGCAUCCCUUGGCGAUAAAAGGAGCAAUCCGCUCGAUGACGGGACCGCGUCCCAUUAGCUAGUUGGUGGGGUAACGGCCUACCAAGGCGUCGAUGGGUAGCUGGUUUGAGAGAGCGACCAGCCACACUGGGACUGAGAUACGGCCCAGACUCCUACGGGAGGCAGCAGUGAGGAAUUUUCCGCAAUGGGCGAAAGCCUGACGGAGCGACGCCGCGUGUGGGAAGAAGGCCUUCGGGUCGUAAACCACUGUCGAAGGGGAAGAUAAUGACGGUACCCUUGGAGGAGCCCCGGCUAACUACGUGCCAGCAGCCGC